rnacentral:rRNA from 2 species
AAAUUGAAGAGUUUGAUCAUGGCUCAGAUUGAACGCUGGCGGCAGGCCUAACACAUGCAAGUCGAACGGUAACAGGAAGCAGCUUGCUGCUUCGCUGACGAGUGGCGGACGGGUGAGUAAUGUCUGGGAAACUGCCUGAUGGAGGGGGAUAACUACUGGAAACGGUGGCUAAUACCGCAUAACGUCGCAAGACCAAAGAGGGGGACCUUCGGGCCUCUUGCCAUCAGAUGUGCCCAGAUGGGAUUAGCUUGUUGGUGAGGUAACGGCUCACCAAGGCGACGAUCCCUAGCUGGUCUGAGAGGAUGACCAGCCACA